GUGGGAACGACAUUGAGGACCUGGAAGUGGAGUUGCUCUCAAACGGAAUAGCAAAUCCUAACUGUACACUUGAAACCGUAAGGUUGUCAUUUUGUAGUAUCACAGUAAAAGGCUGCAGUCAUGUGGAUUCAGCACUGAGCUCCAAUCCUUCCCACAUGAGGCUGCUGGACCUUAGAUAUAAUUAUCUGCAGGACUUUGGAGUGAAUCUUAUCUCAGUUCUGCUUAACAAUCCACUUUGUAAACUAGAACAUCUAAGUGUGGAUCAUAAUGAAGAAUGUUAUCUGAAAUCAACACUUAAAAACUGUGGGCCAACAGGAGUCUCUCUAGGACCUUCAUGAUGUGAGAUGUCAGGGCAACAGGUC